rnacentral:rRNA from 1 species
UGGGGAAUAUUGCACAAUGGGCGCAAGCCUGAUGCAGCCAUGCCGCGUGUAUGAAGAAGGCCUUCGGGUUGUAAAGUACUUACAGCGGGGAGGAAGGUGUUGAGGCUAAUAACCUCAGCAAUUGACGUUACCCGCAGAAGAAGCACCGGCUAACUCCGUGCCAGCAGCCGCGGUAAUACGGAGGGUGCAAGCGUUAAUCGGAAUUACUGGGCGUAAAGCGCACGCAGGCGGUCUGUCAAGUCGGAUGUGAAAUCCCCGGGCUCAACCUGGGAACUGCAUUCGAAACUGGCAGGCUAGAGUCUUGUAGAGGGGGGUAGAAUUCCAGGUGUAGCGGUGAAAUGCGUAGAGAUCUGGAGGAAUACCGGUGGCGAAGGCGGCCCCCUGGACAAAGACUGACGCUCAGGUGCGAAAGCGUGGGGAGCAAACA